ensembl:lncRNA
CUGGGCAGGGCCGGACCAGGGGCGGGGUAGAAGUGGGGUAGGAGGCGGGGCCUGAUCGUUUAUCCGUGCUGCGCGGCCGCCACUUUGCUUGACUGACAUUUGUGAGGCGUGGUCCAGGCGCCGGUGUCCUGCUAGAGGUCCUGAUGUAUAUUGAUGGUAUAGAAAAACGUGAAGCCAUUUCCUCAUACUCUAUGGGAAACACCCUGGUCGUUGAAUUCAGACGUGCUGGCUCUGCUCUACAUCUUGGAGGAGGACUUCUUCAUACCUAAUUCCUGCUGAGACAGCGUGGGGUUUUGAAAAAACGUGGCGUUGAGCUCCAUCUAGGUUAGAAACCCCGGCGCUGCAGAUUCCUUGCCUGUAAAAUGGAGAUAACGCGUUCAUCACAGAGUUCUUGGGAGGAUUAAGACGAGAUGUCAAAGGUGCAUCGCACAUAGUAGUCAUCGAAAUGUUAAUUUUCUCCUCCAUCAAUAACUAUUUGAGUCUCACCCUAGUACCCUCUUUUUUUUUCAUAUUCUAAUUUUUCUUGUAUAAAAGAGUACUUGUCUCUUAAUGGAAAAUGAAAUGUGGCCUUAAUGUUUUUUUGUCAGUACUGGAAUCAGGUUUAUUCAAAGUAGGAGCCUGUUUCAGGUUCUUGCCAUGUGUCCCCUGGCAAAUGAAUUGUAAAGUGUUUUAUUAUAAAAUGUAUUUGCGGUGAUUGACCAUAAGGCACACAGUAAAACGGAAGAGCAGUUUGGAGCAAAGAAUUACCUCCAAGGUUCAGUUCAUACGUAAAGAGGGAACAUUUGUGUAAAAAGUGUACCAGGAAACUACCCUGGAGGUCCAAUUGUUAAGACUUUGCCUUCCACUGAAAUGGGUGUAGUUUUCAUCCCUGGUCCGGGAGCUGAGAUCCCACAUGCCUCUGAGCCAAAACAACAACAAAAACCCAGAACAUAAACAACAGAAGCAACAUUGUAACAAAUUCAAUAAAGACUUUAAAAAUGGUCCACAUCAAAAAAUUAAAAAUUAAAAGUGCCUCAUUCAAAAGGCAACAGCAAGCCCAGAAAUAAGGAAUGAUUUCUAUGGGCUGGGUAAUUUCAUAGACUGGGGCUUUCCAGGUGGCUCAGUGUAAAGAAUCUGCUUGCUAAGCAGGAGACGUGGGUUCUAUCCCUGGGUCAGGAAGAUACCAUGGAGAAGGAAAUGGCAACCCACUCCAGUAUUCUUGCCUGGAGAAUCCAUGGACAGAGGAGCCUGUAGAGCUAUAGUCUAUGAGGUCCCAAAAGAUUCAGACAUGAUUUAGUAACUAAUCAGCAGCAGUAAUUUCAUAGGCUAACAAGUGGAAGAAUUAUUUCAACUAUUUUGGGGAAGGCAGGAGGAUUUCAAGGAAUUAGGCCACCACCACUUGAUGGCCUUUUACAGUGGAUGGGCCUCAGAACUGUCAUGGCAACUAUUAUUUAGAUGCUAAUAUAUUACAAUAAGCUUAUAAGGUUCAGGCUUCCCUUGUGGCUCAGCUGGCAAAGAAUCCACCUGCAGUGUGGGAGACCUGGGUUCGAUCCCUGGGUUGGGAAUAUCCUCAGGAGAAAGGAAAGGCUACCCACUCCAGUAUUCUGGCCUGGAGAAUUUCAUGGACUGUAUAGUUCAUGGGGUCACAAAGAGUCAGAAACAACUGAACAACUUUCACUUCACUUUAUGAGGC